rnacentral:rRNA from 1 species
GAUGAACGCUGGCGGCGUGCCUAAUACAUGCAAGUCGAGCGAACGUCAUAGAAGCUUGCUUCUAUGACGUUAGCGGCGGGCGGGUGAGUAACACGUGGGCAACCUGCCUGUAAGACUGGGAUAACUUCGGGAAACCGAAGCUAAUACCGGAUAGGAUCUUCUCCUUCAUGGGAGAUGAUUGAAAGAUGGUUUCGGCUAUC